GGUGUUUCUAGUAACAUCUCUUGUGAUUCAGGCUUUAUCCUUUGUUUGUUUGCUUCCUUAUAGCUCACCCCCUCUUGAGGAAUCUGACAAAUUCAGGAGGUGAGACCAGAAUUGUGACUACUACCUGCAAAAGCAUCCCUCCCUGCCAAUCCCCCACCAGCAGCCCAAACAAGAUUGGACAUUUUGAGCCUCUCCUCAAGGUGAGAGCCAAGUUUUGUUACUCCAGCAGAGCAGAAACCAGGAACUGGACCGUGGAGGACGGAAGAUCAGAGAGCAAACAGGGGACAUGGAUGAAUCUGGAGAACAUCAUCCUCAGCAAACUGACACAAGAACAGAAAAUGAAACACCGCAUAUUCUCGC
rnacentral:lncRNA from 13 species